rnacentral:misc_RNA from 1 species
AGUCCACUUAAGCCCUGCUUAGUAUUGGGAAUCUACCGAAGCUACCCUGUAGCUACCCUGUAGUUCCUUAAAGACAUCGGCGGAGUUGUGAUAUCUCUGAGCUUAGUAAAUAUUCAAAGCUUCUGGGCCAUCAUAUCCCCUGCCGUUAAACCUUCUACAUCUGUAGAAUUUUAAU